rnacentral:tRNA from 1 species
GGGAGAGAAACUUAAAGGCAAGAGGUAAGCCAGUGGUCUCCAAAACCACCGUUAAGAGGUUCGAUUCCUCCCUCCCCUGCCA